rnacentral:rRNA from 1 species
UCACAUCGUGUUCGGUGGGCCGGGGUAUAACGUUGGGUGGGAUUGGUGUCCGGAAUGUUUGGGGUUGUAGGACGUGUAGGCGGUUUGUCGCGUCUGCUGUGAAAAUCCGGGGCGCAACCCCGGACUUGCAGUUGGUACGGGUAGACUAGAGUAUGGUAGGGGAGACUGGAAUUCCUGGUGUAGCGGUGAAAUGCGCAGAUAUCAGGAGGAACACCGAUGGCGAAGGCAGGUCUCUGGGCCACUACUGACGCUGAGAAGCGAAAGCAUGGGGAGCGAACAGGAUUAGAUACCCCGGUAGUC